rnacentral:rRNA from 1 species
AACGUAGGAGACAAACGUUAUCCGGAGUUACUGGGCGUAAAGGGCGUGUAGGCGGUCUGUUAAGUCCGCUGUGAAAGUCCAGGGCUCAACCCUGGGAUGCCGGUGGAUACUGUCGGGCUCGAGUCCGGAAGAGGCGAGUGGAAUUCCUGGUGUAGCGGUGAAAUGCGCAGAUAUCAGGAGGAACACCAAUGGCGAAGGCAGCUCGCUGGGACGUGACUGACGCUGAGACGCGAAAGCGUGGGGAGCAAACAGG